ensembl:lncRNA
GUCUAUGUGUGAGAGGGAGGGGGUAGUUUGUCCUACAAACUCUCACAGUCUCACUUCAGAAUUAUUAAUAAGAAUUAUAAAUAUUUCGAAGUUGAUCUAAAUGUCAAAUUCAAAGUGUUUAAGGUUAGACAUUAACUCUGAAUGGUUAAGGUUAGACAUUAACUCUGAAUGGUUAAGGUUAGACAUUAACUCUGAAUGGUUAAGGUUAGACAUUAACUCUGAAUGGUUAAGGUUAGACAUUAACUCUGAAUGGUUAAGGUUAGGGUUAAGGUUAGACAUUAACUCUGAUUGGUUAAGGUUAGGCAUUAACUCUGAUUGGUUAAGGUUAGGCAUUAACUCUGAUUGGUUAAGGUUAGACAUUAACUCUGAUUGGUUAAGGUUAGGCAUUAACUCUGAUUGGUUAAGGUUAGGGUUAAGGUUAGACAUUAACUCUGAUUGGUUAAGGUUAGACAUUAACUCUGAUUGGUUAAGGUUAGACAUUAACUCUGAAUGGUUAAGGUUAGACAUUAACUCUGAAUGGUUAAGGUUAGACAUUAACUCUGAAUGGUUAAGGUUUGGGAUAGGCUUAAAACAACUUUCUAAUGGUGGAUUUGAACAUGCAACUGCCUCUUGGAAUGAAAGGUAGAUGCUUACACCCAUCCACC